rnacentral:rRNA from 1 species
CCUACGGGUGGCUGCAGUGGGGAAUAUUGGACAAUGGGCGCAAGCCUGAUCCAGCAAUGCCGCGUGAGUGAAGAAGGUCUUAGGAUUGUAAAGCUCUUUCGGUGGGGACGUGACGGACCCAAUAAGCCCCGGCUAACUUCGUGCCAGCAGCCACGGUAAUACGAAGGGGGCUAGCGUUGCUCGGAAUGACUGGGCGUAAAGGGCGCGUAGGCGGCUUGUAUAGUCAGAUGUGAAAUUCCUGGGCUCAACCUGGGGACUGUAUUUGAUCCGUGCAGGAUUGAGUGUGGAAGAGGGUCGUGGAAUUCCCAGUGUAGAGGUGAAAUUCGUAGAUAUUGGGAAGAACACCGGUGGCGAAGGCGGCGACCUGGUCAUACUGACGCUGAGGCGCGAAAGCGUGGGGAGCAAACAGGAUUAGAUACCCUUGUAGUC